rnacentral:rRNA from 1 species
UAGGGAAUCUUCCGCAAUGGACGCAAGUCUGACGGAGCAACGCCGCGUGAGUGAAGAAGGAUUUCGGUUCGUAAAACUCUGUUAUUAGGGAAGAACAAAUGUGUAAGUAACUAUGCACAUCUUGACGGUACCUAAUCAGAAAGCCACGGCUAACUACGUGCCAGCAGCCGCGGUAAUACGUAGGUGGCAAGCGUUAUCCGGAAUUAUUGGGCGUAAAGCGCGCGUAGGCGGUUUUUUAAGUCUGAUGUGAAAGCCCACGGCUCAACCGUGGAGGGUCAUUGGAAACUGGAAAACUUGAGUGCAGAAGAGGAAAGUGGAAUUCCAUGUGUAGCGGUGAAAUGCGCAGAGAUAUGGAGGAACACCAGUGGCGAAGGCGACUUUCUGGUCUGUAACUGACGCUGAUGUGCGAAAGCGUGGGGAUCAAACAGG